rnacentral:rRNA from 1 species
UACGGAGGGUGCAAGCGUUAAUCGGAAUUACUGGGCGUAAAGCGCACGCAGGCGGUUUGUUAAGUCAGAUGUGAAAUCCCCGAGCUUAACUUGGGAACUGCAUUUGAAACUGGCAAGCUAGAGUCUUGUAGAGGGGGGUAGAAUUCCCGGUGUAGUGGUGGAAUGCGUAGAUAUCGGGAGGAACAUCAGUGGCGAAAGCGACACCCUGGCAUUAGCCUGACGCUCAUGUGCGAAAGCGUGGGGAGCGAACGGG